rnacentral:rRNA from 1 species
AUACGGAGGGUGCAAGCGUUAUCCGGAAUCAUUGGGUUUAAAGGGUUCGUAGGCGGGUCAAUAAGUCAGAGGUGAAAUCUUGCAGCUUAACUGUAAAAUUGCCUUUGAAACUGUUGACCUUGAAUUACUGUGAAGUGGUUAGAAUAUGUAGUGUAGCGGUGAAAUGCUUAGAGAUUACAUAGAAUACCGAUUGCGAAGGCAGAUCACUAACAGUAUAUUGACGCUGAUGAACGAAAGCGUGGGUAGCGAACGGGAUUAGAUACCCUAGUAGUCC